rnacentral:rRNA from 1 species
AUUGAACGCUGGCGGAAUGCUUUACACAUGCAAGUCGAACGGCAGCACGGACUUCGGUCUGGUGGCGAGUGGCGAACGGGUGAGUAAUGUAUCGGAACGUGCCCAGUCGUGGGGGAUAACGUAGUGAAAAUUACGCUAAUACCGCAUACGAUCUACGGAUGAAAGCGGGGGAUCGCAAGACCUCGCGCGAUUGGAGCGGCCGAUAUCAGAUUAGGUAGUUGGUGGGGUAAAGGCUCACCAAGCCAACGAUCUGUAGCUGGUCUGAGAGGACGACCAGCCACACUGGAACUGAGACACGGUCCAGACUCCUACGGGAGGCAGCAGUGGGGAAUUUUGGACAAUGGACGAAAGUCUGAUGCAGCAACGCCGCGUGGAGGAUGACACAUUUCGGUGCGUAAACUCCUUUUAUAUAGAAGAUAAUGACGGUACUAUAUGAAUAAGCACCGGCUAACUCCGUG